GCGGGGCGGGGGGGGCCUUAUACAUGCAAGUCGAACGCUUUGUGGUUCAACUGAUUUGAAGAGCUUGCUCAGAUAUGACGAUGGACAUUGCAAAGAGUGGCGAACGGGUGAGUAACACGUGGGAAACCUACCUCUUAGCAGGGGAUAACAUUUGGAAACAGAUGCUAAUACCGUAUAACAAUGACAACCGCAUGGUUGUUAUUUAAAAGAUGGUUCUGCUAUCACUAAGAGAUGGUCCCGCGGUGCAUUAGCUAGUUGGUAAGGUAAUGGCUUACCAAGGCGAUGAUGCAUAGCCGAGUUGAGAGACUGAUCGGCCACAAUGGGACUGAGACACGGCCCAUACUCCUACGGGAGGCAGCAGUAGGGAAUCUUCCACAAUGGGCGAAAGCCUGAUGGAGCAACGCCGCGUGUGUGAUGAAGGGUUUCGGCUCGUAAAACACUGUUGUAAGAGAAGAAUGACAUUGAGAGUAACUGUUCAAUGUGUGACGGUAUCUUACCAGAAAGGAACGGCUAAAUACGUGCCAGCAGCCGCGGUAAUACGUAUGUUCCAAGCGUUAUCCGGAUUUAUUGGGCGUAAAGCGAGCGCAGACGGUUAUUUAAGUCUGAAGUGAAAGCCCUCAGCUCAACUGAGGAAUUGCUUUGGAAACUGGAUGACUUGAGUGCAGUAGAGGAAAGUGGAACUCCAUGUGUAGCGGUGAAAUGCGUAGAUAUAUGGAAGAACACCAGUGGCGAAGGCGGCUUUCUGGACUGUAACUGACGUUGAGGCUCGAAAGUGUGGGUAGCAAACAGGAUUAGAUACCCUGGUAGUCCACACCGUAAACGAUGAGUGCUAGGUGUUUGAGGGUUUCCGCCCUUAAGUGCCGCAGCUAACGCAUUAAGCACUCCGCCUGGGGAGUACGACCGCAAGGUUGAAACUCAAAGGAAUUGACGGGGACCCGCACAAGCGGUGGAGCAUGUGGUUUAAUUCGAAGCAACGCGAAGAACCUUACCAGGUCUUGACAUCCCUUGACAACUCCAGAGAUGGAGCGUUCCCUUCGGGGACAAGGUGACAGGUGGUGCAUGGUUGUCGUCAGCUCGUGUCGUGAGAUGUUGGGUUAAGUCCCGCAACGAGCGCAACCCUUAUUACUAGUUGCCAGCAUUCAGUUGGGCACUCUAGUGAGACUGCCGGUGACAAACCGGAGGAAGGUGGGGAUGACGUCAAAUCAUCAUGCCCCUUAUGACCUGGGCUACACACGUGCUACAAUGGCGUAUACAACGAGUUGCCAACCCGCGAGGGUGAGCUAAUCUCUUAAAGUACGUCUCAGUUCGGAUUGUAGGCUGCAACUCGCCUACAUGAAGUCGGAAUCGCUAGUAAUCGCGGAUCAGCACGCCGCGGUGAAUACGUUCCCGGGUCUUGUACACACCGCCCGUCACACCAUGAGAGUUUGUAACACCCAAAGCCGGUGGGGUAACCUUCGGGAGCCAGCCGUCUAAGGGGAUCAAA
rnacentral:rRNA from 1 species